rnacentral:lncRNA from 1 species
GGGAGCUACCAUUUGAUUUUUAUGGGGGGGCUAGGAUGAAAAAUUUUGUCCUGCAUUUUUUUUUAGCUGUAAUCUCUGUCCUGCCUUUUUAUUUUUCACUCUGUUCGGUCCUGCUUUUUUUUUUUUUUAGUUAAUCCUGACUUUUUUUUACCUAAAUUGUCGUCCUGACUUUUUUUUUGCAAGUGUCUCAUCCUGCCUUUUUUUUUUACUCAAAACUCAGUCCUGUCCUGCCUAUUUUUUUCAAAUUUCAUCCUAGCCCCCCCCCCCCAUAAAAAUCAAAUGGUAGCUCCCUAAGCUU